GAUGAACGCUGGCGGCGUGCCUAAUACAUGCAAGUCGAGCGAACAGAUGAGGAGCUUGCUCCUCUGACGUUAGCGGCGGACGGGUGAGUAACACGUGGAUAACCUACCUAUAGGACUGGGAUAACUUCGGGAAACCGGAGCUAAUACCGGAUAAUAUAUUGAACCGCAUGGUUCAAUAGUGAAAGACGGUUUUGCUGUCACUUAUAGAUGGAUCCGCGCCGCAUUAGCUAGUUGGUAAGGUAACGGCUUACCAAGGCAACGAUGCGUAGCCGACCUGAGAGGGUGAUCGGCCACACUGGAACUGAGACACGGUCCAGACUCCUACGGGAGGCAGCAGUAGGGAAUCUUCCGCAAUGGGCGAAAGCCUGACGGAGCAACGCCGCGUGAGUGAUGAAGGUCUUCGGAUCGUAAAACUCUGUUAUUAGGGAAGAACAAAUGUGUAAGUAACUAUGCACGUCUUGACGGUACCUAAUCAGAAGGCCACGGCUAACUACG
rnacentral:rRNA from 1 species